CCGCGGAGGUAUAGCGUUACAACGGCGAGUGAAGCGGCAAAAGCUCAAAUUUGAAAUCUGGCACCUUCGGUGUCCGAGUUGUAAUUUGAAGAAGGUAACUUUGGAGUUGGCUCUUGUCUAUGUUCCUUGGAACAGGACGUCACAGAGGGUGAGAAUCCCGUGCGAUGAGAUGCCCAAUUCUAUGUAAAGUGCUUUCGAAGAGUCGAGUUGUUUGGGAAUGCAGCUCUAAGUGGGUGGUAAAUUCCAUCUAAAGCUAAAUAUUGGCGAGAGACCGAUAGCGAACAAGUACAGUGAUGGAAAGAUGAAAAGAACUUUGAAAAGAGAGUGAAAAAGUACGUGAAAUUGUUGAAAGGGAAGGGCUUGAGAUCAGACUUGGUAUUUUGCGAUCCUUUCCUUCUUGGUUGGGUUCCUCGCAGCUUACUGGGCCAGCAUCGGUUUGGAUGGUAGGAUAAUGACUAAGGAAUGUGGCUCUACUUCGGUGGAGUGUUAUAGCCUUGGUUGAUACUGCCUGUCUAGACCGAGGACUGCGUCUUUUGACUAGGAUGUUGGCAUCAUGAUCUUAAGCCACCCCUCUUGAACAACGGACCAAAAAAAAAUUACCAUUUUUUUUUUUGUUUGUGUGCCGUUGUGUUUUGGUUUUGUGUUGGGGUGUUUCGUUUUUUUUUG
rnacentral:rRNA from 1 species